rnacentral:tRNA from 1 species
GCCUGGGUGGCUCAGUCGGUUGAGCGUCCGACUUCGGCUCAGAUCACGAUCUCACGGUCUGUGAGUUCGAGCCCCGCGUCAGGCU